rnacentral:lncRNA from 1 species
GAUCCACUAGCCCAGGGCUUCUCAAGCUGGAAUGUGGACAUGAAUCACCAUGGAUCUGGUUACGUUGCAGAUUCUGACUCAGCAGGUCUGAGGCGGGGCCUGACAUUCUGCACGGCUGGCCUGCUCCGGGCGCUGCUGAUGCUGCUGGUUCCUGGACCACCCUUGAGACCCUGGAUGACCUCUGAGGUGCUGCCUCCUUGCAAAAACCCUCAGCUCUUGGGACCUCUCCCUGCGCUUCCGAAGCCCUUUCAGAUAUUUUCCUGUAGCCCUCACAAAGAGCUUGGGGUUGCGGUUUCUGCCGCUGUUGACUCUCACGUGGAGAUAAUGGAACAUCAUUUCAGAGUUUCGGAAAUGGGAGAGAAAUCUCCCAGCAGCCCAGCAGUUGAAGAGGAGCUGCCUCAAAUACCAGCCCAACGGGAGGCCUGUCUCUGGCUUUUAUGUUCAAGCUGGGACUCUUGGCCUCAGAAGCCUGCUUCUGGUCUUGAAAGUUGGUCCCUUCCCAGCAUUAUAGCAUUAAAAAAAUUUUUUUU